rnacentral:misc_RNA from 1 species
GAUGAAGAACGUAGUGAAAUGCGAUAAGUAAUGUGAAUUGCAGAAUUCAGUGAAUCAUCGAAUCUUUGAACGCACAUUGCGCCCGCCAGUAUUCUGGCGGGCAUGCCUGUCUGAGCGUCAUUUCAACCCUCAUGCCCCUAGGGCGUGGUGUUGGGGAUCGGCCAAAGCCCGCGAGGGACGGCCGGCCCCUAAAUCUAGUGGCGGACCCGUCGUGGCCUCCUCUGCGAAGUAGUGAUAUUCCGCAUCGGNNNNCGAUGAGCCCCUGCCGUUAAACCCCCAACUUUCCAAGGUUGACCUCAGAUCAGGUAGGAAUACCCGCUGAACUUAAGCAUAUCAAUAAGCGGAGGA